AUUGAACGCUGGCGGCAGGCCUAACACAUGCAAGUCGAGCGGAUGAAGGGAGCUUGCUCCUGGAUUCAGCGGCGGACGGGUGAGUAAUGCCUAGGAAUCUGCCUGGUAGUGGGGGAUAACGUCCGGAAACGGGCGCUAAUACCGCAUACGUCAUGAGGGAGAAAGUGGGGGAUCUUCGGACCUCACGCUAUCAGAUGAGCCUAGGUCGGAUUAGCUAGUUGGUGGGGUAAAGGCCUACCAAGGCGACGAUCCGUAACUGGUCUGAGAGGAUGAUCAGUAACACUAGAACUGGAACACGGUCAAAACUCCGACGGGAGGCAGCAGUGGGGAAUAUUAGACAUUGGGCGAAAGCCUAAUCCAGCCAUGCCGCGUGUGUGAAAGAGGGCUUCGGAUUGUAAAGCACUUUAAGUUGGGAGGAAGGGCAGUAAGUUAAUACCUUGCUGUUUUGACGUUACCGGCAGAAUAAGCACCGGCUAACUUCGUG
rnacentral:rRNA from 1 species